UACGUAGGGUGCGAGCGUUAAUCGGAAUUACUGGGCGUAAAGCGUGCGCAGGCGGUUCGUUGUGUCGGCGGUGAAAGCCCCGGGCUCAACCUGGGAAUGGCCGUUGAAACUGGCGAGCUGGAGUGUGGCAGAGGGGGGUGGAAUUCCGCGUGUAGCAGUGAAAUGCGUAGAGAUGCGGAGGAACACCGAUGGCGAAGGCAGCCCCCUGGGCUGACACUGACGCUCAGGCACGAAAGCGUGGGGAGCAAACAGG
rnacentral:rRNA from 1 species